UACAUGGGGUGCAAACGUUGCUCGGAAUCAUUGGGCGUAAAGCGCGCGUAGGUGGCCUCGUAAGUCCGCUGUGAAAGUCAAAGGCUCAACCUUUGAAAGCCGGUGGAUACUGUGAGGCUAGAGUACGGAAGAGGCGAGUGGAAUUCCUGGUGUAGCGGUGGAAUGCGCAGAUAUCAGGAAGAACACCCGUGGCGAAGGCGGCUCUCUGGGACGGUACUGACGCUGAGACGCGAAAGCGUGGGGAGCGAACAGG
rnacentral:rRNA from 1 species